rnacentral:lncRNA from 14 species
AUGACGUCCAGUUUAAACAUAAACAUUCGAUUGCUGCAACAGACUGGCCUGGUGGCUUCUCCGCUGGACAGCCCCUGUGCCAUUUCCUGUGUCUGACGGCAGACUUUGCUGACGGCACUGGGUUCACCAUUGUCCUGUCAGCCCUCAGCUCCUGCACAUGGCUUGUCUUUGAAACCAGCUGGGUUCCUGUCGUCCUGCUGAGGGUGGAAUAUCAGACCAGGAAUACAAAGAGCUAAAGUUUCAUGGGGCGGUGCGGGUGUGGUGGGGGAACGGCAAACAUUACUUCACUUAACUGCAAUGAACCAUCUCCAAGGUUAUAUGGGGAGAACUGCCAGUUUAAGGCAGGCUUCAGUGAACUCCUGAAUAUUUACAAGCUGCGAGCCUGGACAGGUGUAACUGCUCUCCAGGGAUGCAGCUGUGAAAGAGGCGAGGACUCAGCUCACUCCAGAGCCGACGGAACUCAGAGAAGCAGAGUCGCCGGACCAAGCACUGCCCAAGAAGAGGGAUGGGGACCAGGCGGUGCCGGGCUACGGUGGUCCUCCGGGUGCCAUAAAUGCUAAAAUCACCCAUCUCCUGUAAUCCUGCAUCUGUGCUCUCAAGAGUGAGAUGGUUAAGUUCACCGCUUUGUGGAGCUGGCUGCGGAUGGCUUCUGUGUGGUCCUCUGUCCCGGGAGAAGAUAGAGCGCAGGCUGAUGGGAAGGCUCAGCCGGUGAAGACACUCGCUUCCACACCUGUGGCCUGAGUGCAAUCCUGGUGAGCUUCAUGGUGGAAGCAGAGAACUGAGGCCAUAAGGAGUCCUCUGACUGCUACAUCUGUGCCUCGCACACUCUCCCAGUAACUAAAACUGUCAUUAAAACCUUAAAAGGGGCUGGAGGGAUGGCUCAGCGGUUAAGAGCACUGCCCGCUCUUCCAGAGGUCAUGAGUUCAAAUCCCAGCAACCACACGGUGGCUCACAACCAUCUGUAAUGGGAUCGGAUGCCCUCUUCUAGUGUGUCUGAAGACAGCGACGGUGUACCCACAUACAUAAAAUAAAUAAAUCUUUAAAAAAAAGUUGUCAUGUUUUUAUAAUUGCAGGAAACACUGAUUUUCUUAUCCGUGGGUUAGAAAAACUGGCAGGCUUUUUUCCUCUUCAUCUGAAUCCUGGCAUCUAAGGACCGGCGUGGAGCACAGCACUAAGUAGCCUGUGUAUGCUCUCUCCCUGGAUACGUUACGACCUAUAACUAGUUCUUCCACGAGGAAGAUCAAGACUCAACCCAUUGACUCCCGUGUCAACAAGUGUUACUUGGACAUCCACCCCACGCAGCCCUAGGUGUCACAUCACAUAUAGGAUGGGAAUAUUAAACUGGAUGACUCUGCUCUGGUGUGCACACCUUCUAGAAAAAUGUAUGUUACAGAGAAUAAACAAACCUCUGUUGUAUAUGUUAUUGACAGGCCAGCUGCAGCAGCUAUGUUUUCUUGGAAGGCUUUCAGGCUAGCACAGGCCAGCCGGGAUUUGUUCGUAGUACUCUUAUUAUACAAAAGCUAGUGUAGGUUUCAAAGGGCGAAGUUAAACGAUUCAAGAACAUUGACCGCAAGUUGGUAGAGGUCUGUCUUUGGCUAACGGACGUUAAAGAAGUAAAGCUAAAAGUUAAUGUUUCUUCCUACAAAUUUCUCCUGUAGGUGAGGUCGUGGCCCAGCUAGGAUGUGUCAGAAAACGUGCACAGAACGCCAGGCAGCAGCAAGCGCGUCAGGGCUCACAGAGGGCUCAGCCAAGGCCCUGAUUUCUACCCCUGGGACCCACAUGGUAGGGGACAACUGACUUCCUCAAGUUGUCCUCUGACCUCCACAUGAACACCAUGGCAUUUGAGCACCCCCCACGUGCAUAAAUAGAAUAACAAAGGGCAAAGCGCAUACACGUAAGCAAGUGGAAGAUACGAACCGCUCUGAAAAUUCUUGCUCCUGAUUUAUUAAAAACAAAAAGGACUCCCUGAAAAAUGAAUGCAACAGGACCCCAUGGCAGAGUUCUAAUGAAAUACACUCUAGUCUCUCUCCGUCGAAACCACAAGGCUGCAAACCUGGGCCGGGCUGUGACGUAUGCCCACGGGUUGCAAGAUUCACAGAUAGCAGACAUGGCCUUGUCCGAAGGCUCCUUGGAGGCCAGUGUGAGAUCUGCCUCAGAUAAAGCUCGGGCACACGUCAUCUGCAAGCCACACGGGUGGGACACCCUGCUCUGUUCUGUGUCUUCUGGGCUUCUGCCAAGGGUCCUGCUGGCCCUUGUAUUUCCUCUUGAGCCCGCAUAGGCUUCACUCCAAGCUCUUUCCACUCAGAAGCACUCAGAGGUCUGUCUGCCUCUGUUGGUGGCAAGAGCAACCUGCUGAUGUCGUUAGCCUUUGUUUCACAAGCUUGACUGGCCUUGGGGGUGACGCUUCGUGUGCUUUCUAAGUGUGUACCUGCACUGCCCUGGUAGGUGUGCAGUGACGCAUCACGUGUGCACGCGGAGGUCUGAAGUUGAAGAGCAUCUUUCGCUACUGCCCUCCGCCCUAUCUUUUGAGGUCUCUCUGGGCUUAGGCAGCUGACUGGUGAGCCACAGGGAAUCCUGGGGUGUCUGCCUCCCCAGUGCUAGGGUUACAGGUUACAUCACGCCUCAUUUUUUUUUUUCUUUUUUUCCGGAGCUGGGGAACGAACCCAGAGCCUUGCGCUUGCUAGGCAAGCGCUCUACCACUCAGCUAAAUCCCCAAC